CGCACACUCUUCGUCCUCUACGUUCUCCUUUUCUCCCAUUAAUUGCUCUAUGCAUGCAUCAAUUGCUUACAAAAGUGUUCUUAGUCCAUGUCCCUGAGUAUAUGAAGCAAAUGAUAGGAGAUGGGAACAUAGAGAGGUCAGAAGAGAUGUUGUGAGCUUGAAUUGAGCCCUAUUUAAUGAGUGCUCGAAUGGGUCUUGCUGUAAUUAGUCGAUUAUUCGGAAAGUUUACGCCUUUAUUUUUUGUAUGUAGUGUUAAUUUAGUGUUAGUUUAAAAUGCUACUUGUAGUUAGUUUAAUUUAGUGCUAGUAAAAUACUACUUGUAGUUAUGCAUAGGGAAAAAAAUGCAAUCUUUUCUUAUUUGUAUUUAGAAAAUUUUGUAAUGUGAAAUGCAUCAGACGUGUUUCUCGCUUUGAUCCAUGAUGGACCUGUAGGAAUACUCCAAGACUCCGCCGUUGUCGUUUGUUCAUGUAUCGCAUUAGAUAGAUAUUGUGUUCAUGGAAUACGAUUCAUGUGAAGGAAGCUUCGGACUCGUAUUGUUCGUGGAUUGAGAUCUCUCGUUGUGCUUCUGUAGCUCGGAUGUAGAGCGGUUGGCUGUUAAGCGGCAAAAGGCAUUCCUCAAGCAGCCAAAGGUUUUCCUUUGGUGACUUUUUCCUGCUUUCUGUUUGCACAUUUUUUUCAUGGUUUUACGUGUUACGUGCGAUCGUGUUUUAGUGACAAGAUGGUUUGUAGCUCGAAGAAAUCUGGAAAGGGAAAGAGACCUGGCAAGGGUGGAAACCACUUCUCGAAGAACAUUGGGCUGGGAUUCAAGACUCCCGGAGAAGUCAUUGAAGAUAUGAUCAGCUUAUUUUACUUUUGAUAUAAAUUUGGGACAUGUAUAGAUAAAAAAUGCCCAUUACUGGCACCAUAUCCAUUAGGGGCUGCAUUUGGAUGGCACAUGCCAUAUUGCCAAAAAUGAGUAGAACUAUUAUCGUUCGCAGAAACUACCUCCACUAUGUGAAGAAAUAUUGAAGG